UUUCCAUUCAGCUUCUCACAAGGACAAUCAAUACCUAAUUUCUCUCAAACCCUAGGGCGAUCUCCUCCUUCAAGCUUUCUGCCGAUCAAUCGACUUCAACAAGGUUCUGAAUCGAUUAAUAGAUUUCUGGAUCUGAUUAUAAAAUGGAGGAUCAAGAGAUGGUGGUGAAGCAGAUGUGUAAGCAACAAAUGACAACCUAAUUUCUGCUGAACCCUAAAACCCACCAUCGCAAAUUUGCUUUGUCUGUUCUUGAUCGAUUCCUCUUUGAUAAUCGAAGGAAGCACUGCACUGGAUGCUGUUCAUGUUAUCAAAAAGAACCAAGAAAAUGCUUUUGCAAUGCUAGCAGCAGUAAUGUGACAUUUUCUAUUGUUGAUAAUGACAACCAUGUUGAACCAGUUAUUGAUGAAGCGUAUAAAUCAUAUAUUGAGUAUGCUUUGCAGUCAAAUAUGGCAUCAUCACCAGAUUCUAUAUUGCAAUCUUAUCAGCGUGUUACCAACAUCUCUUACUUCAACUGAUCUCAUGUUAGAUAGCGUGCAGAAGAUGCUGGACUCUGACGGGUCAUGUAUAUUGCACAACAUCAAAACUAGAAUAUGGAUAGUAGAUUUACAGGUUGUUCGGUGCCCUAUAUGUGACCUGAACACAUGUGAUGGAACAAUGUAGGUACUGGAUGCCAGACACUUGGAGCUCUUCCUCAAUGACGGGUUCGUAAAUGGAAGCUGGGAGUACGAGCUGGUAGGAUCUCAUGAUAUCAAAAGACAUGUAAACAAUGCAUUUGAUGGCAUUUUGGACUCAAAACACUUUAAGAGUCCAUACACAGCUGUGAUAUGGCAAAGAGUUUAUUCAAGCAAGAACAUGAUCUUGGUAAGUGUUUCCUUUGUUAUAUUGAUAUUAUGCCCGGUUCGGACCAAUGGCGGACCUAGAAAAAAAAAUUGUUCAUGGGGGGCGAUUGGGUGGCUUAACCAAAAUUUUAUGAGGAGCGAUUUAGAUUUUAGCGUAGAAAUAACAGUAAAAAAAUUGUUCAUAGGGGGCGAUUAGGAUUUUACCCUAGGCGUUGCCGAAUUGGUCAUGAAAUGACCUCCACAGGAGAAAGUUGGUGUGAAAUCGAUCAGAGACGAAGAAUUUGAGCUUAUGUCAGCUCUUUACAGUCAGCAUCAUCAGUCAGGCACUCAUUUUCGUUACAAGAUCGUGAAGCUGGUCGUUUGUUGAACGCCCCGGUCUUCUACUCCUCACCGCCUUUUUUAUAGCUCAGCUGGUGAGUUUAUUUAUAUUUAUAUAACAGUAUUUAUAACGAAAGUAAAUGUGACGCUUUUAGGGGCAACAAUCAAAUGGACAAAAGGCUGAGAGGCAUCGAUUUUCUCAUUAUCGCGAGAAGGAUGAAGGGGGGCAGCGACAAACUUGGUUCUGAUUGGAGUUUUAAGGGCAAGUUUUUAUUGAGUUUUCUUUUUCUUAUUGGCUCAAUUGAAGCCAUAACACAUACGCUUCAGAAUUUUCAAUGAUAACUUCGAAUUUUUUGAAUUAGGGUUUGUUUUGAAUGUUAUUUUGUUUUCAGUGACUUUGAUGUUGAUUUGUGGAUGUCGGCUUUUGUUUGUUGAUGGGAAUGAAGCAGAAGCUGGUCCCAUCAUAUUAACCACUAUAGGAUGCAAGAAUGGAGAACCAAAACAGUGCCACCAUGGCCAACAAAAAAUACAGAAAAAUUUAGUUAAGCAUCAUCUCUAUGUCUGUCUCCAAUCAAUCAUGUUCUCAUCAACGAGCAUCGUCUAACAAGGCAUAAUGGUUUGUAACUCAUUCUUUAAAAUUAAUCUCAUUCAUCCUUAAUAUUUUUUUCUUCUUUGUUGUUAUUAUGUUAAAACUCAUCAUACCUAAACCAAGCAUGAAGCAUGUUAAUAUUUGUACUUUACUUUGGAAGGUCAAGUAAAACACCAAAUUUGUCUUGUAGCAUAUGAGUUUUUGAAGCAAAAUGAUAAGAUGGUAUAAUGGGUAGCUCAAGCGAGUUGGGUUUUGAUACGAAUUGUUGAAUCGGUCCAAACAAAUUCGAAGGGGCUGAAAUUAGUUUUUUUUAUAGAGAUUCAUUAGUUUCCUUUUAAGUUCUAGCAUUUGAUAUCUUUUUAAUAAGUCUCCCCAAAUCUUGAAUAGUAGUUCUAUGAGCGAUGUUUGCCUCUUGAAAGCACACUAAAUUUUGUAAUCAUCUGUAUAUCAAUUUUUAUUAGUAACAAUAUCCAUUUUGUUCGUAUUAAAUUAGUGUAUAUUUAUGGUGACAUUACAGUUUGGUUUAGAUGUUUUACAUUAGUGUUUCUUAGGCUAUAGGGUGU